rnacentral:rRNA from 1 species
ACGAUGAACCGCUUUCGAGGCGGGGAUUAGUGGCGAACGGGUGAGUAACACGUGGGCAAUCUGCCCUGCACUCUGGGACAAGCCCUGGAAACGGGGUCUAAUACCGGAUAUGACUGUCCAUCGCAUGGUGGAUGGUGUAAAGCUCCGGCGGUGCAGGAUGAGCCCGCGGCCUAUCAGCUUGUUGGUGAGGUAGUGGCUCACCAAGGCGACGACGGGUAGCCGGCCUGAGAGGGCGACCGGCCACACUGGGACUGAGACACGGCCCAGACUCCUACGGGAGGCAGCAGUGGGGAAUAUUGCACAAUGGGCGAAAGCCUGAUGCAGCGACGCCGCGUGAGGGAUGACGGCCUUCGGGUUGUAAACCUCUUUCAGCAGGGAAGAAGCGAAAGUGACGGUACCUGCAGAAAAGCGCCGGCUAACUACGUGCCAGCAGCCGCGGUAAUACGUAGGGCGCAGCGUUGUCCGGAAUUAUUGGGCGUAAAGAGCUCUAGGCGGCUUGUCACGUC